rnacentral:rRNA from 1 species
AGAGUUUGAUCAUGGCUCAGGACGAACGCUGGCGGCGUGCCUAACACAUGCAAGUCGAACGGAAAUACCUGUAGCAAUAUGGGUAUUUUAGUGGCGGACGGGUGAGUAACGCGUGAGCAACCUGCCCUUCGGAGGGGGACAACAGCUGGAAACGGCUGCUAAUACCGCAUAACGUAUAUUAACGGCAUCGUUGGUAUACCAAAGAUUUAUCGCCGAAGGAUGGGCUCGCGUCUGAUUAGCUAGUUGGUGAGGUAAUGGCUCACCAAGGCUGCGAUCAGUAGCCGGACUGAGAGGUUGAACGGCCACAUUGGGACUGAGAUACGGCCCAGACUCCUACGGGAGGCAGCAGUGGGGAAUAUUGGGCAAUGGGGGCAACCCUGACCCAGCAACGCCGCGUGAAGGAAGAAGGCUUUCGGGUUGUAAACUUCUUUGACCAGGGACGAAAUAAAUGACGGUACCUGGAAAACAAGCCACGGCUAACUACGUGCCAGCAGCCGCGGUAAUACGUAGGUGGCAAGCGUUGUCCGGAUUUACUGGGUGUAAAGGGCGCGUAGGCGGGAGUGCAAGUCAGAUGUGAAAUCUGGGGGCUUAACCCUCAAACUGCAUUUGAAACUGUAUUUCUUGAGUAUCGGAGAGGCAGGCGGAAUUCCUAGUGUAGCGGUGAAAUGCGUAGAUAUUAGGAGGAACACCAGUGGCGAAAGCGGCCUGCUGGACGACAACUGACGCUGAGGCGCGAAAGCGUGGGGAGCAAACAGGAUUAGAUACCCUGAUAGUCCACGCUGUAAACGAUGAAUACUAGGUGUGGGGGGACUAACCCCCUCCGUGCCGGAGUUAACACAAUAAGUAUUCCACCUGGGGAGUACGGCCGCAAGGUUGAAACUCAAAUGAAUUGACG